rnacentral:rRNA from 1 species
GACGAACGCUGGCGGCGUGCCUAAUACAUGCAAGUCGAGCGCUGAAGGUUGGUUCUUGUUCCGACUGGCUGAGAAGCGAACGGGUGAGUAAUGCGUGGGGAAUCUGCCUUUGAGCGGGGGAUAACAUAUGGAAACGAAUGCUAAUACCGCAUAACAACUUUAAACACAAGUUUUAAGUUUGAAAGAUGCAAUUGCAUCACGUAAAGGUGAUUCAGCGUUCUGUUAGCUAGUUGGUGGGGGAAAGGCUCACCAAGGCGAUGAUACAUAGCCGGCCUGAGAGGGGAGACGGCCACAUUGGGAAUGGGGACCGGCCCAAGCCCCUGAGGGAGGCAGGAGGAGGGAAUCUUGGGCAAUGGACGAAAGGCUGACCGAGGAACGCCGCGGGAGGGGAGAAGGUUGUCGGAUCGUGAAUCGCAGUUUGUGGUGAAGAACGUUGAUGAGAGUGGAAAGGUCAGGAGGUGACGGUAGCUACACAGAAAGCGACGGCUAACUACGUG